UAUUCCAGGAUAUGCAAAAG
rnacentral:siRNA from 1 species